GACGAACCGAGCGAACGUUGUUCGGAAUCACUGGGCUUAAAGGGCGCGUAGGCGGGUGCUCAAGUCCGGGGUGAAAUCCUCCAGCUCAACUGGAGAACUGCCUCGGAUACUGGGUGUCUCGAGGGUGGUAGGGGUAUGCGGAACUAUCGGUGGAGCGGUGAAAUGCGUUGAUAUCGAUAGGAACCCCGGUGGCGAAGGCGGCAUACUGGACCACAUCUGACGCUGAGGCGCGAAAGCCAGGGGAGCAAACGGG
rnacentral:rRNA from 1 species